rnacentral:lncRNA from 1 species
GCCGCGGCCUCGGAGCCCUGGAACCUCCGCGCUCUCUGUCUCUGGUGCCCGAGGGCAGCGCGCGUCGCCCCCGAGUACCGGGGCCCCGACCCUCGGAGUGGGGAGCGGGGAGCGGGCUCGGCGGCAGGGCCAGAGAGUAACAAUGGUCGGCAUAGCACCAUCAGGCAUUUCUUGUCUAAGGAAGACUUGCAGCUGACUACACCGCAGUCUGUGAAUGAUCUCCCAGGUCCAAGGACGGGAGACACACACCAGUGGACCCUUCCGAGCCAGUGUGUUGACCCCUGACCAGCCUCAUCGGAACCCACGAUCUGGAUACAUACACAAACGCCCUGAGCUGUUGGGCCUCCGGCGUGCUCUAGGGAAACAAACAACAGGUGAAGUUUGAUGGACAGAACUAGACGCGCCUGAGACUGCCCCUCCCCAGCAAAGCACACCCGUGAGUGAGGGACAGUGGUGGCCGUCAUGUGUAGAGGAGGCUUUUGCUUCCUAGUUGCUGAGAUCCGAGUCCUGCAGGAGAAGACAACCAAUGGGUGGGUGCCCCCACCCUCGUGGCCACAGGGAAUCCCUGGACAGGUGACAAGGCUGCCCCCAAGGCAAGGCUG